CAUAUUCUACUCGAAAACCGCUUGUUCUUGAACUGGAAGAGUGCCAUAAAAUCAUGACAAAGUACGUGAUAUUAUGCACAUUUUCUAGUUCAAGACUUGAGAAAUCGGUUAACUGUUUUUGA
rnacentral:pre_miRNA from 15 species